rnacentral:misc_RNA from 1 species
AGAACCUUCCUUGCUCAACACUUGCAAACCUAGAGGAAAUUGGGAGAUAUACAGCAAAACGCCAUAGGAGAGUAUGGGACUCGAGCCAUUGUCGGAUGAAUCCGGGAAAGGGCUUGGCAAAAGAGACUAGGUCUGAACCAAUCUUCGAAACUGCUAGCCAACACUUGCUCCAAGAAGCUUCACAACAGACCAUGGGAGAAGCCACCUUUAACGUGCAGAGCUUCCCCACUGUAACCCAUCAAAACCCCAUCCAAAAGGAGGGAACUUGGACUCCAAAAAUUGGAAACUAAGAAAACAACAAGGGAAAAAAUGAAAAAGAAUAGCUAAGAAAAAAAAAAAACUAAAAUGCUACCUAAAGAAAAGGAGGGGUGAGGGGAGG